GUCAGGAUGGCCGAGCGGU
rnacentral:piRNA from 2 species